UACGUAGGGAGCAAGCGUUGUCCGGAAUUACUGGGUGUAAAGGGAGCGUAGGCGGGAUGGCAAGUUGGGUGUUAAGUCUACCGGCUCAACUGGUAGUCGCACUCAAAACUGCUAUUCUUGAGUGAAGUAGAGGCAGGCGGAAUUCCUAGUGUAGCGGUGAAAUGCGUAGAUAUUAGGAGGAACACCAGUGGCGAAGGCGGCCUGCUGGGCUUUUACUGACACUGAGGCUCGAAAGUGUGGGGAGCAAACAGG
rnacentral:rRNA from 1 species